rnacentral:rRNA from 1 species
CAGCCGCCACGGGAAUACGUAGGGUGCAAGCGUUAAUCGGAAUUACUGGGCGUAAAGCGUGCGCAGGCGGUUAUAUAAGACAGAUGUGAAAUCCCCGGGCUCAACCUGGGAAUUGCAUUUGUGACUGUAUAGCUAGAGUACGGCAGAGGGGGAUGGAAUUCCGCGUGUAGCAGUGAAAUGCGUAGAUAUGCGGAGGAACACCGAUGGCGAAGGCAAUCCCCUGGGCCUGUACUGACGCUCAUGCACGAAAGCGUGGGGAGCAAACAGGAUUAGAUACCCCCGUAGUCCCUGUCUCUUAUAC